GCGUGGGUCGGCCCGCUGACUGGAUCCAGUGGGCUGGGGGAAGCCGUCGCCUCAUUCCCCGCGGGCGGCGGACCGGUCCGGGAGGUGCGGCUCGCGCCUCCCGGACUGCG
rnacentral:ncRNA from 1 species